GUGAAGAACGCAGCGAAAUGCGAUAAGUAAUGUGAAUUGCAGAAUUCAGUGAAUCAUCGAGUCUUUGAACGCACAUUGCGCCCCCUGGUAUUCCGGGGGGCAUGCCUGUCCGAGCGUCAUUGCUGCCCUCAAGCACGGCUUGUGUGUUGGGCCCCCGUCCCCGGUUUCCCCCGGGGACGGGCCCGAAAGGCAGCGGCGGCACCGCGUCCGGUCCUCGAGCGUAUGGGGCUUUGUCACCCGCUCUGUAGGCCCGGCCGGCGCCAGCCGACACCCAACUUUAUUUCUAAGGUUGACCUCGGAUCAGGUAGGGAUACCCGCUGAACUUAAGCAUAUCAAUAAGCGGAGGA
rnacentral:misc_RNA from 1 species